CUGUACACGUACCUGCUCAGGUGAGACCUCAAGGAAAAAUAAUCCCGUGGGUCCGCCUUAUCUGGUUGUUUCCAACCACAUUGUCUACAAUUACGACAAUCAACAUGAGUCAAAGAGUUGAAUAAAAAGAAUCCUUCUUUAUAUCAUCAUCAUCAUAAAUCACUGUCAUCACCAUAUCAUGAUGGGUAUCAUAUCUUAAAAAUAAGAAGACUUUCAUAUUCUUCAGGAAGUAAUUUGAAUGUAGAUCAUAGCUUUUUAUUUUAUUUAAAAAUGUUUAGCAUAAACUAAUAUGGAAAUUAUAUUUUAUUCAACCACCAGAGGGAGCUCCCAAAUAUAUGGAUUCUAAAAGGGAAGGAGUAGUAAUUAAGUAGGCAGCUUUCUAUGUUUUAUAGUUGAAAAUCAGAGAUUGAAUCAGCUGUGUGUCAUGGUUUUGUGGGAUCAUGUGUUGGGUUUUAGUACAUCAAGUGCUUAAAAUCUUGUCCUACUAUAGAUCAUCUUAAUUAACAGUUAUUGAAUAAUAAUCUUGUUUUUACAUUUUUUAAAAGUUUGACUCAUUGUGUUAUUUUAACUUUAUAUUCUAAUUUUGGACAAUAUUGAUUAAUGCCAUGCUUUGCAAAUAUAAUUAUAUUUCCUGACUUCCUCUCUUAGGUCUUCAUUUUUCUUAAGGUGUGUUUUUAUAUUGUCAAACUUAUAAUACAUUCUUUUUUGUAACCAUAAAUUCAAUGCUGACACACCUCUUUUUUGUAUUUCUUUUCUUUGAUGUAUUGCUUGACUUGUUAAAUUUUAUUGUCAAAUAGUUUAUUUGAGAAGAGUCUUUGGGUUCUAGAAUCCUUGAUAUCUUUCAUGUUUGGGAAAGACUGCUGGUCGCUUUACAUAUGUAUGACAUAUAGAGUGGGCAUAACAUUGUGAGGUCAUAUUUCCUUUCUCUGAUCUAUGGUUUAAUAUUCCCCCUAGGAGAAUCAAGUCUUCCAAUUUUUUUUCACUAAUAUUAUGUGUGGAAUGGGAGGGAAGAAAAUUAUCCAGUUGUUUCCUGGAGGCAGAGCAAGUCCCUGCAGAGCUAGCUGCCCUCAGUGAUGAUGAGUUUUAUAUCUCCCAGAACAUCCCACUUCUUAAAUGUCUAGCAUCUUGUAAGUAACCUUUCCAGUCAUGUUUCUUCAUAGCUUGCUGAGUUCUUUCUCUCCUCUUUUAAAUGGCUUUAUUGAGAUAUAAUUGACAAAUAAAAAACUGCAAUUUGAUAUAAUUGAUAAAUUAAAAACUCUGUAGUUUGAUGUGUUUGGAUGUAUGUAUGUACUGGCAAUGCUAUCACCACAAUCAAGAUAAUAAACAUAUCCAUCAUCUCCAAAUGUUUUCCUCUGUCCCCUUGACCCUGCACUUUUUUUGUGGUAAAAACACUUAGCAUGGCAAUCUGUGGAGAAGCAAUCCCUGGAACCACUAUCUUUGUCUGUUGUCUCUGUACCCUGCUUUAAAGUGUCUGAACGUUUUCUUACACAGUAUGUGGAAAUUAUCAGGCACAAAGGUUAAGCAAAUUACUCAAGGCCAUGGAGUAGAUGAGUGAGAGGCCUGGGAGUGGAUCCAGAACUCUUAACUGUUCAGUUGAUAUAUUGCCUUCCACUGCUUCAAAAAGCUGUGAGCUGCCCUGCUUCUUCCCAACACACUUGACUCAAGUCAGGUAUCUAAAUUCCCAUUUCUAAGCUGAAGUCAAUGGUAUUUCCAUAACUAGGAUGUUGUCACAACAGAAAAAAAUGAAUUAUAAGCAAUCAAUAGAGGUGAAAUAUAUUCAUUCAGAGUCAGUGCUGGUGCAUUCCAUCUUUCUUCACUUCCUUUAACCUCUUAUUUUCUCCAGGCUGCUUACAAAUGUAUUCAAUGUGUUAACAAAAAAUUUAAUAAGGACAGUGCCAGAAUAUCAACGUUUGGAAAAAAGAAAAAUACUUUCUAUUUGGUGUUAGCGUAACUGCCCAUUUUAACUAGGUGUAUAUCUCUCUGUGGAUAAUUAAAAUGCUAUCUGUAAAUAAAGUAAAAUAUUAAAUAUAUGA